rnacentral:tRNA from 1 species
GCGGGUAAGCGUCCGGUUCGUCGCCAGCCUUCCAAGCUGAGCAGAGAAGGGUUCGAUUCCCUCUACCCGCUCCA